rnacentral:rRNA from 1 species
UACGUAGGGUGCAAGCGUUAAUCGGAAUUACUGGGCGUAAAGCGUGCGCAGGCGGUCGUGCAAGACAGAUGUGAAAUCCCCGGGCUUAACCUGGGAACUGCAUUUGUGACUGCACGGCUGGAGUGCGGCAGAGGGGGAUGGAAUUCCGCGUGUAGCAGUGAAAUGCGUAGAUAUGCGGAGGAACACCGAUGGCGAAGGCAAUCCCCUGGGCCUGCACUGACGCUCAUGCACGAAAGCGUGGGGAGCAAACGGG